GGAGGGAGGAGGGAGGAGUCCUUCACGCCGGACAUAAAACCCCGACGGACCGGUUUCCUCGUUCACUUCCUUCUCUCAUCUAUCCGAGAUGAUGAAGAAAGCUCCAGAAACUACCUGCUGCAAAGGUGUGACGGGUUUGGCGAAACUCUCUCCCAAGAGAUGUUCAAGGCCGAUCGAAGAUGAAGAACAAGAACGAAGGACUUCGGUUGGUCUUCAAUGUCCACUCACUGAACUCUUCAAAGCAGCUUGAAAGUCCACAGAGGUUGGAGUUUGACAAGAAGUUUCAGAAGAGAUGCCACAUGGACUCAACAUAGCCUUGAGUGGAUUCUUGAAGAGGAUUGACAUCUCAUGGUGACUCAUUGGCCACUUCAGCAGCAUGUUUGCAGUUCCAGUCAAAGGUACCUGGCUUUGGAAGAUGCUGCCAGCUUGUCAACAACAAAGGUGUCUGCACAGGACCGAGCUGCCUGUCGCACUACCCAUCUGGAAGCAAGUUGACCAAGAUUGUCAACGCUGAAUGGAGGACAUGGUCGUCACAAUUGCCAGAGUUGAGGUUUGGUGACGCCGUCUCUGGAUUGUGGGGGACAGCAGAGACAUGUGGGACUGCUCCCAUGCAGCAUGAUGUCAUCUCUUGCUCUCAUGCUCACUGUUGGACUGUGUUGGUUUGGCAGCAUGAAGUCUUCACAUGGUCUUGUGCUCACUGUCGGCCCGUAUUGAGUCCAGCUGGAUUGGCUGCUGCUUUGGAGUUUUUAUGAACUUGGGUGCCAAAGAUCCAUCAACCAUCUGAUGCUGCAAACUUUCCCUAAAGCUCUAAAGGAUGCUUCAGAAAACAUGUUUCCAGAUUCAUAAUGUAACCCUGUGUACUUCCAGAGAACUGGAAAAUUUCAAAUGCAUCAGUUCAAAUAAAAUACUUUUUUCUGUACAGUA